UCUCCUGGAAACGGGUGGUAAUGCCGGAUGUUCCAGUUGAUCGCAUGGUCUUCUGGGAAAGCUUUCGCGGUAUGGGAUGGGGUCGCGUCCUAUCAGCUUGACGGCGGGGUAACGGCCCACCGUGGCUUCGACGGGUAGCCGGCCUGAGAGGGCGACCGGCCACAUUGGGACUGAGAUACGGCCCAGACUCCUACGGGAGGCAGCAGUGGGGAAUAUUGCACAAUGGGCGCAAGCCUGAUGCAGCGACGCCGCGUGAGGGAUGGAGGCCUUCGGGUUGUAAACCUCUUUUAUCGGGGAGCAAGCGUGAGUGAGUUUACCCGUUGAAUAAGCACCGGCUAACUACGUGCCAGCAGCCGCGGUAAUACGUAGGGUGCAAGCGUUAUCCGGAAUUAUUGGGCGUAAAGGGCUCGUAGGCGGUUCGUCGCGUCCGGUGUGAAAGUCCAUCGCUUAACGGUGGAUCCGCGCCGGGUACGGGCGGGCUUGAGUGCGGUAGGGGAGACUGGAAUUCCCGGUGUAACGGUGGAAUGUGUAGAUAUCGGAAAAGAACACCA
rnacentral:rRNA from 1 species